CAAGGUCUCCGUAGGUGAACCUGCGCAGGGAUCAUU
rnacentral:rRNA from 1 species